rnacentral:rRNA from 1 species
CUCCUACGGGAGGCAGCAGUAGGGAAUCUUCGGCAAUGGGGGCAACCCUGACCGAGCAACGCCGCGUGAGUGAAGAAGGUUUUCGGAUCGUAAAGCUCUGUUGUAAGAGAAGAACGGGUGUGAGAGUGGAAAGUUCACACUGUGACGGUAUCUUACCAGAAAGGGACGGCUAACUACGUGCCAGCAGCCGCGGUAAUACGUAGGUCCCGAGCGUUGUCCGGAUUUAUUGGGCGUAAAGCGAGCGCAGGCGGUUUGAUAAGUCUGAAGUUAAAGGCUGUGGCUCAACCAUAGUUCGCUUUGGAAACUGUCAAACUUGAGUGCAGAAGGGGAGAGUGGAAUUCCAUGUGUAGCGGUGAAAUGCGUAGAUAUAUGGAGGAACACCGGUGGCGAAAGCGGCUCUCUGGUCUGUAACUGACGCUGAGGCUCGAAAGCGUGGGGAGCGAACAGGAUUAGAUACCCUGGUAGUCCACGCCGUAAACGAUGAGUGCUAGGUGUUGGGUCCUUUCCGGGAUUCAGUGCCGCAGCUAACGCAUUAAGCACUCCGCCUGGGGAGUACGACCGCAAGGUUGAAACUCAAAGGAAUUGACGGGGGCCCGCACAAGCGGUGGAGCAUGUGGUUUAAUUCGAAGCAACGCGAAGAACCUUACCAGGUCUUGACAUCCCGAUGCUAUUCCUAGAGAUAGGAAGUUUCUUCGGAACAUCGGUGACAGGUGGUGCAUGGUUGUCGUCAGCUCGUGUCGUGAGAUGUUGGGUUAAGUCCCGCAACGAGCGCAACCCCUAUUGUUAGUUGCCAUCAUUCAGUUGGGCACUCUAGCGAGACUGCCGGUAAUAAACCGGAGGAAGGUGGGGAUGACGUCAAAUCAUCAUGCCCCUUAUGACCUGGGCUACACACGUGCUACAAUGGUUGGUACAACGAGUUGCGAGUCGGUGACGGCAAGCUAAUCUCUUAAAGCCAAUCUCAGUUCGGAUUGUAGGCUGCAACUCGCCUACAUGAAGUCGGAAUCGCUAGUAAUCGCGGAUCAGCACGCCGCGGUGAAUACGUUCCCGGGUCUUGUACACACGC